rnacentral:rRNA from 1 species
GACGAACGCUGGCGGCGCGCCUAACACAUGCAAGUCGAACGGAGCUGAGAGGAGCUUGCUUUUCUUAGCUUAGUGGCGAACGGGUGAGUAACGCGUGAGUAACCUGCCCUGGAGUGGGGGACAACAGUUGGAAACGACUGCUAAUACCGCAUAAGCCCACGGUGCUGCAUGGCACUGCGGGAAAAGGAUUUAUUCGCUUCAGGAUGGACUCGCGUCCAAUUAGCUAGUUGGUGAGGUAACGGCCCACCAAGGCGACGAUUGGUAGCCGGACUGAGAGGUUGAACGGCCACAUUGGGACUGAGACACGGCCAGACUCCUACGGGAGGCAGCAGUGGGGGAUAUUGCACAAUGGGGGAAACCCUGAUGCAGCGACGCCGCGUGGAGGAAGAAGGUUUUCGGAUUGUAAACUCCUGUCGUUAGGGACGAUAAUGACGGUACCUAACAAGAAAGCACCGGCUAACUACGUGCCAGCAGCCGCGGUAAAACGUAGGGUGCAAGCGUUGUCCGGAAUUACUGGGUGUAAAGGGAGCGCAGGCGGACCGGCAAGUUGGAAGUGAAAUCCAUGGGCUCAACCCGUGAAUUGCUUUCAAAACUGCUGGCCUUGAGUAGUGCAGAGGUAGGUGGAAUUCCCGGUGUAGCGGUGGAAUGCGUAGAUAUCGGGAGGAACACCAGUGGCGAAGGCGACCUACUGGGCACCAACUGACGCUGAGGCUCGAAAGCAUGGGUAGCAAACAGGAUUAGAUACCCUGGUAGUCCAUGCCGUAAACGAUGAUUACUAGGUGUUGGAGGAUUGACCCCUUCAGUGCCGCAGUUAACACAAUAAGUAAUCCACCUGGGGAGUACGACCGCAAGGUUGAAACUCAAAGGAAUUGACGGGGGCCCGCACAAGCAGUGGAGUAUGUGGUUUAAUUCGAAGCAACGCGAAGAACCUUACCAGGUCUUGACAUCCGAUGCAUAGUGCAGAGAUGCAUGAAGUCCUUCGGGACAUCGAGACAGGUGGUGCAUGGUUGUCGUCAGCUCGUGUCGUGAGAUGUUGGGUUAAGUCCCGCAACGAGCGCAACCCUUAUUGCCAGUUACUACGCAAGAGGACUCUGGCGAGACUGCCGUUGACAAAACGGAGGAAGGUGGGGAUGACGUCAAAUCAUCAUGCCCUUUAUGACCUGGGCUACACACGUACUACAAUGGCGUUUAACAAAGAGAAGCAAGACCGCGAGGUGGAGCAAAACUCAGAAACAACGUCUCAGUUCAGAUUGCAGGCUGCAACUCGCCUGCAUGAAGUCGGAAUUGCUAGUAAUCGCGGAUCAGCAUGCCGCGGUGAAUACGUUCCCGGGCCU